GCAAACUAUAAACUGAUACGACCAUUAAUAUUCAUUUCUUUUAUUAAUUCUCUGGGUUACAGGUAAAGAUCAGACUAUAUAUAUAUAUUGGCCAGAAAUGUUUGUACUUUCUUUUUCAGCAAAUUUUGAACUUGGAUUAUUUUACCUGAACAUCAAUAAGCAGACAGAAAUGGUUGGUACUUAAAUAUUUUGAUUUUUAUGUCUUAUGAUCCUUUCAUGUCCUUUUUUUAUGAUUCCUAGAUUGUACAUUCGUUCAAGGAAUACAUGGAGGAUUUUAAUGAAUUGGAAUGAAAUAAAGAUGAGCGCAAUUGUAGAAAUAUAAUAAUGUUGUUUCAACAUUGUUUGAUCUAUUCCACUUGUUUGUAAGAGGCCAAAUAAAAACAAUAAAUAUUAGACAAAUACACACACAAAUGUCCUGAGUAGGAAAGCUGUAAAUUUCUAAUUCUCUGUCUAAUGCUGUGUACUUCCCUACUUAUUUGCGGGGUCAUCAUGAUGCUGAUGCUGUAAGUUUUGGCGUGUAUAUUUUUUUAAAUUCAAUUUGCUUAGAUUCGGGUCAGAUCUGAUUCUCUUCUGCAUAUAGGUUGCUCUGUAUAUGAAAGACUAUGGUGGUGGUUUUGAAUUCUGUAAUCGGUCUGGUAAUGGCUGCAAGUUGAUAUUCUAUUAUGUUAAUCUGCAGUUAUAGUUUGAUGUUUACAUUCUUAAACUGUCAGUAUAACAAUCUUACUUGUAAAUAUUAAUUAUGUUUUCUAGAGGACAAGAUAUAUGAUGAUUCGGGUGAUGGCACCAGUGGUGCUGGAGCAAAUCCACACAACAUGGAACUGUCACAAGAGAAUACCUUUACUGUUGAUCCUGUAGGUUUUGGCGUGUAUAUAUUUUUUAAAUUCAAUUUGCUUAGUUUUGGAUCAGAUCUGAUUCUCUUUUGCAUAUAGGUUCUUCCAUCACUGCCGUGUUCUUCUGAUAUGGAAAACUUUGGUUAUUUUGGACUCUGUGGUCUGUCAGGUAAUGGCUGCAAGUUGAUAUUCUAUUAUGUUAAUCUACAGUAAUAAUUUGGUGUCUACAUUCUUAAACUGUCACACUAUAACAAUCUUACUUGUAAAUAUUGAUUAUGUUUUCUAGACAAUGAGAUAUGUGGUCUUUCGGGCGAAGGCACCAGUGAUGCCAGAGCAAAUCAACUCAAUAUGAAACUGUCACAAGAGAACACGUUUACCGUUCAAGGGUACAACAUUUAUGAACGCAACUCUAAUUUGCUCAUUAAUAUAUUUCAAAAGCACCCUCGUAUUGAUAGCAAGUAUUUCUAUUUAGGUGUGCAGAUAUUCAGAACUCAUUACCUGCCGUAGCUGAAGUUCACCAUAACCCAGUAAUGCAUGGCCUCACAAAGAAGUCGGCCGAGGCAAAGGGCAAGAGAUCGGUCGAAGAGAUAAAGGACGAAGCUUAUAUCAAAAAAGGCAAAAUGAAGGUGCUGAAUGACAACUGAUUCAAAAGAAAAUCAACUGAUGUUGCUGAAGAAACCAAGGUUUAUAUAAUUGCUUAUUUUCUUUUCAAAAGGUUAUGACUUUUAAAUGAAGUCCCAAUGGGUUUAUUGGGAUGUUGAUGAACUGAAGAUAUAAAGGUGUGUUUUUGUGUGACGGUUUGUGUGUGAAGAUACAAAUAUGUCGAAUUCGAAUUAAUUACAAGAGAAAUAAAUUGUGUCUAUUUAUAGGCUUGUAAAUCUAUAUUCUAAUAGAAGUGUAGUACGAUUGAAAUACCUUAUUCUAAUUAAUAUCAAAUAGAUGCAGUUUAAAAAGAUUUAAAAACCUUAUUUUAAAAAUAAAAUAAAAGAACUAUAAUUUUAUAGUUUAUUUUAUUUUACCACUGUAUUUGAUUUAAAUAAAAUUCGGGUCAAUUAAUUCUAAUAAUUAGACCUCACAUGUUCCAAGAAUUGGUGCCUCAUACACCGCAUUAUGAUCUCAAGAUGCUGAAAAUUUUAUAACAGUUGUUGCUCUUAAAUAGAUGCUAAUAUAUGGUUAAAUAUCUUCUUAGUUGAAUCAAACUUGCUUCGUCUUCAAUAUACUCUCUUGAAGGUGAUGCAAGUCAUGGAGCUGUGCCAAAGGACGACCCUUGAAAGAUGAUUCCAAAACUUCAAGAAUACUGGAUAAGCUAGCCAGAUAUGCUGAAUAUUUGUGAAGCAAACCUAAACUCUUUUCCAUUUCUCCUACAUUGAGAUAAUCUGAUAAAACGGUUAGGGAACACCCAACGCACAUGGUAUAAACAAAAAUCAUAGUUCUCAAAGAAUUCCAUAAACUAUUUAAGGAUACAUAUCUGUUGAAGUUCUGUUGUAAUAUUUUUAAACUUCCGCUUGACCCAAUCCUUGACAACCUUCUCAUCCAGUAGCAAAGCGGUGAUAGCAUCACUGGAAACAGCAGUUUCAUCCAUGCAUAUAUCUGUAACAUCUGUUGUUUUUCCGUUAAGGUAAACACGGAGUUCUACCAAACAAUCACAACAUCAGUAUUCGGCACGUGUUUUAUAAACAUAUAAACAAAUCAAUAUGCCCUAAAUGACUAAAUCUAGACAAGUAAAAGGAUACAAUGACAAACCAAAGAAACCAAGUUAUUCUCCAAGGAGACAUCAAAAAAAGAAUAAAGACGUUGAACAUCAGCAUUCAUUUGAUCAUCUCUAUCUUCUUUAUUUUGAAAAAUAUCACCAUAUCUUCUAGAAUUGAGGCCAGCGUCUAUGCACUCAUCAAACAGGCGUAGGCGAAGUCUGUUGGUACCACUCGCCAAUGGGAUUCUACAAAUCGGACAAAGAUCACAUCUUUGACAACACUCGGCAUAUAACGAGGCAUGUCCGCAAUAGUUCAACACAUACUUCACAUAACGCCCACAUCGUCUUAAGUCUCUAGUUGCUUGACAGUAUUCGGUUUUCGCCUCGUUGAAUAACUCACUAAAGUCAACAGAUGCCAAGUGUUCUAAAGCUUCCUGAAAUUUAAACUAGACAUUAUAAUUUCUUAGCCUAUUCCAAAGCUAUACAAUAAUUUAUUCAAAAUUCACCUAAACUUAAUUUAAGCUAAAACACUAUUAUUUACAACAAAAAUGUGAACUUAAUAAAAAACUAACCAAUUCUAUGUAAGCAAAUGUGCUCUUAAAAUGAGUUUGAAUUUAUCUUUUGCAAAUGUGGGUGAGUUCGGGUAAAAUUUUAGGUCCAUAUUUUCAGGUUGGGUCGAGCUUAGGCAAAGUAUAAAAUAUAUUAAUAUUAUUUUUAGGUCUGGACCGAACUCAACCCGACCUGGCCUAUGAGUAGUUUUAGCUCAAAGUGAUUAAAAUAUUUAAUUUUAAAAAGCGUAAUGACUAAAUAAAAAACUAAUAAUUUUGUGAGUAAAAUAGAAGGAAAGAUAUAAUUAAAUGACCAUUUCUAUAGUUUAAAAAAAAAAAACUUUUCAUCUUCUUUAACAGAAAGUUAAGAGCUAAUUUACGCUUUUGAAAAUGUAUAUAGAUUAAAUUUACGGCGGGCAAAAUGCAAUCCCUACUGCCUUUUUACCAUUAAAAAUGUCAUUUGAUUUCCUUGAAGUAAAACACUGGAGAAAACACCGAAAUGAAAAUGGUAGGCGCAUUCUCCUUUGAACAGUAAAGUAAGACUUUUAAAAUAAAAAAAAGAAAGUCCAUCUACGUCUGAAAAUUGGGGAUGAGAAAAUGAUUCAAACCCUCGACACAAUAUCGCGCGAUGGACUGGUGCAAAGCUUUGGGUAUAUAAGUUUUGAGUUUUGGGCAAAACAAUGAUAAACAGGUCUGCGACGGCACAACAAUCUCUACUCUACUGUACCUUACAGCUGUAAGCAAUCCAUUACUCCUUUCUCUUUGCUUUGAUAUAAUCAAGUUUGGUUUAUAUUUUUCUUUGAUUACCAGUUUCUCUCUCUCUUUCUUUGUACUAUGUAAUCGUUCUUUUCUAGGGAGAUAUUUCUUUUCUUUUUUUCCCAACAUUAGAAAGCAUGUUUUCAGUUUAUAUUCAAAAUUUUAUGAUCUUUUUAAUAUCAUUUUUCUUCCUAUUCUCAGAUUGUGGUUCGAUGGGGAAAAAGGAGAAGAAAAAUAAAGAUGAAGAUAAAAAUAAAAGCUAUCGUGGAAGAUUAGCAGUACCGAUUUUUUCUUUUUUUUUUCCAAUCAAGUUCUAUUUUUCCCACUAAUUUCUUUUGUUUUUUUGUUUAAUAAUAGUUUGAAUUUUUGGUUGCUUUCAAUAUGCAGAUAUGUGAUAAAGAAGUGGGAGAAUUGAUAUCUAUGCUACUGGAUGGUGAUAACACUUAUCUAACCAAGGUAUGGCUUUCCCUCUUUCUUUUAUAAUUUGUUUUAGGUUUGGCUUGGUAUACAGCGAAAGAUGAAAAACUAAAAGAGUAGAAAAAUAGGAAGAUUGGAAAACAAAUUUUUUAUUUCCAUAAGUGUAAUGAAAGGAAGAAAACAAAUAUUCAAAAAAUGCUAUAAACACUUUUCUCAUAUUUUCUCUCCUCUCGGAAUCAAAUUACAUUUUGCCCUCUUUACUAAAAAAGGUCAAAUUAGUUCCUAUAUCUUAGAUCAAAGAGCAAACCGGUCCUUCCUGCUAAAAAUUUCAUCUAUUUUUAUUGUUAAAAACUGACAUGCCUAAUAGAAUAACCGAACAGUUACAAUGACUGGUUUUUAACCUUUGGAAUGAAUUGAAUCUGACAUACAAGGACUAAUUUGGCAAUUUUUUAAGUGAAGGGGGCAAAAUGCAAUCCGUCUCCUAAUACAAGGGCCGCCAUGGUACUUUUACCCAUGAAAAUCCGGCAAUUUCAGGCUCUGUUUUCAUAACAUUAGAAAACGCAUUAAUAGUUGGUUUACUUUUUAUUGUUUUCUAAUCUCUUUUUGAAUGUAGGGGUGUGUGCAUGAAAGGAUGAUGGCAGUAACGAAAGCAAAGUAUCAACUCCAUGAUCCACAGUUCAUACUGCAAUUGUUGAGAAAUCUAAUGGAACCUAUUAUUGCGGAAAAUGGCAGUGGUGACGACGUCCGAGAUGCAUUUAAAGCCCCUAAGUCAUAUUUGACGCAAUAUGCAAAUCCAGUUCAAAAGAAGCGAAGUGCCAAGCGCCUUCCUGACUCAAUGUCACUCACAGGUAUGGUUUUUAAGGAAGUACCACAUGUUGAUUAGUAACAUUUAUUGAUGUGCUUGAGACUGCUUGGGGAAUGCCAUAGAUGGAGUUCCCAAACAUGUUUCGAUGCUUAAGUCAGUGUUUGGAGAGAAAUCAUCAUAGUAACAGUUGGUUAAGGGCAUGUUGUGUACCUAGGUUUCUUGUAGAAAUGAUUUUUGUGCUUCAUUUCCUUAAAUUUGCUUUUCUGCUUGGCUUUGGCUUUUCUCUAAAUUCAAUUGCUAGUACUGUUUUAUACAUACAAUUGUAGAUUUAGUUCAUUUUCUUCAUUUGGAUCAUUUUAAGCCCUUAUAUUUUUCGAAUUUUGAAAUUUCAUUCUUAAUGUUAAACACGUUCAUUAACCAAUUAAUUGGAAUUGUAGUGAGUAAUAUGUGGAAAUAACAAGCUGACGUGGCACUAUAUACAUGACAAUAUAUUUGCUGCAUCAGAUUUUAAAAAUAGCAUAAUUUAAUGAAUUUAACAGUAAUUAUCUGGUGAGAACUGAAAUUUGAAAAUUUGAAAAGUACAGAGACUAAAAUUUUAAUAGCACACAGUAGCAUAAGCCUUUUAGCAGCUCUUUGAUAUACAUAUAUACCAAUCUUGAUAUCAUUUAAAUUAGAUUUUCUUAUUUGUUAUUUGUUUUCUUUAUAUUUUCAAUUAAAGCAUCGCAAAAGGAAAUGGUGGUGCAGCCGGAGGCUACUGUGGACCAAACGCAGCAAUUAAUGACAGAGGAUAAGUUGUUUAGCAUAGUAAAAAAUAUGGUAAACGAUGUUUUGGGUCCUUAUUUAGGAAGGCUACAGAACCAAAAGCUUACAAAUCCUGUUAGUAUUCAUGGAGAUCCUGAGUCUAGCAGAGGAGCUGAGAUUUGCAACAACAUACAGGUAAGAGUGUCAUGUACAUGUAGGAAUUAUGUGCGUAUCAGAUCUUGCAUAAACUAGAGCUUGUCUGUUAUCCCUUUAAUUUCUUUGACGGGCAGUUUAUUUCAUCUUUCGCAAACUAUAAACUGAUACGACCAUUAAUAUUCAUUUCUUUUAUUAAUUCUCUGGGUUUCAGGUAAAGAUCAUACUAUAUAUAUAUUGGCCAGAAAUGUUUGUACUUUCUUUGUAAGCAAACUCUGAACUUGGAUUAUUUUACCUGAACAUCAAUAAGCAGACAGAAAUGGUUGGAACUUAAAUAUUCGGAUUUUUAUGUCUUAUGAUCUUUCAUGUCCUUUUUCUUAUGAUUCUUAGAUUGUACAUUCGUUCAAGGAAUACAUGGAGGAUUUUAAUGAAUUGGAAUGAAAUAAAGAUAAGCGCAAUUGUAGAAAUAUCAUAAUGUUGUUUCAAAAUUGUUUGAUCGAUUCCACUUGUUUGUAAGAGGCCAAAUAAAAACAAUAAAUAUUAGACAAAUACACACACAAAAGUCCUGAGUAGGAAAGCUGUAAAUUUCUAAUUCUCUGUCUAAUGCUAUGUACUUCCCUACUUAUUUACAGGGUCAUCAUGAUGCUGAUCCUGAAAGUUUUGGCGUGUGUAUUUUUUUAAAUUCAAUUUGCUUAGAUUUGGG
rnacentral:lncRNA from 1 species